GCGACCCCAGGUCAGGCGGGAUUACCCGUUGAGUU
rnacentral:rRNA from 5 species